UACGUAGGAUGCAAGCGUUGUCCGGAAUUACUGGGCGUAAAGGGCGAGUAGGCGGCCUGUCAAGUCCGAUGUGAAAGCUCCCGGCUUAACUGGGAGAGGCCAUUGGAAACUGGCAAGCUGGAGUGCAGGAGAGGCUAACGGAAUUCCCGGUGUAGUGGUGAAAUGCGUAGAUAUCGGGAGGAACACCAGUGGCGAAGGCGGUUAGCUGGCCUGUAACUGACGCUGAGGCGCGAAGGCUAGGGGAG
rnacentral:rRNA from 1 species